rnacentral:rRNA from 1 species
CCAAUAGCGUAUAUUAAAGUUGUUGCAGUUAAAAAGCUCGUAGUUGAAUUUCGGGGUUCCACCGUUGGUCGGGCUAUUGUUUGUACUGGCGUGUGGAAUUUCUACCUUCUGGGGAACUAUCAUGUUAUUAAUUUAGCGUGGUAGGAAACCAGGACCUUUACCUUGAAAAAAUUAGAGUGUUCAAAGCAGGCUUAUGUCUGAAUACAUUAGCAUGGAAUAAUAAAAUAGGACGGUGGUCCUGUUUUGUUGGUUUCUGAAUCACCGUAAUGAUUAAUAGGGAUAGUUGGGGGCAUUAGUAUUCAAUUGUCAGAGGUGAAAUUCUUGGAUUUAUUGAAGACUAACUACUGCGAAAGCAUUUGCCAAGGAUGUUUUCAUUAAUCAAGAACGAAAGUUAGGGGAUCGAAGACGAUCAGAUACCGUCAUAGCCUUAACCAUAAACUAUGCCGACUAGGGAUCGGACGAUGUUAACUUUUCUUGACUCGUUCGGCGCCUUACG